GAAUCAACGCGGAGCGGCGUGCCUCAGACAUGCAAGUCGAACGCGAAAGUCCCCUUCGGGGGAUGAGUAGAGUGGCGCACGGGUGAGUAACACGUAGGUAAUCUGCCUUUGGGUGGGGAAUAACUCAGGGAAACUUGAGCUAAUACCGCAUAAUGCAGCGGCUCGACAUCGAGACAGUUGUUAAAGCGGGGGAUCUUCGGACCUCGCGCCUAAAGAGGAGCCUGCGGCAGAUUAGCUAGUUGGUAGGGUAACGGCCUACCAAGGCGACGAUCUGUAGCCGGCCUGAGAGGGCGGUCGGCCACACUGACACUGACAUACGGGUCAGACUCCUACGGGAGGCAGCAGUCGGGAAUUUUGGGCAAUGGGCGCAAGCCUGACCGAGCGACGCCGCGUGUGGGAUGAAGGCCUUCGGGUUGUAAACCACUGUCGGGGGGGAUGAAAUGCGCGAGGGUUCUCCCUCGUGUUUGACAUAUCCUCGGAGGAAGGACGGGCUAAGUUCGUGCCAGCAGCCGCGGUAAGACGAACCGUCCAAACGUUAUUCGGAAUUACUGGGCUUAAAGGGUGCGUAGGCGGCGCGGAAAGUAGGGUGUGAAAUCCCUCGGCUUAACCGAGGAAUGGCGCUCUAAACUACCGUGCUUGAGGAAGAUAGAGGAGAGCGGAACUUAGGGUGGAGCGGUGAAAUGCGUUGAUAUCCUAAGGAACACCGGUGGCGAAGGCGGCUCUCUGGAUCUUUUCUGACGCUGAGGCACGAAAGCUAGGGGAGCGAACGGGAUUAGAUACCCCGGUAGUCCUAGCUGUAAACGAUGAGCACUGGAUCGGAGGGACCUCCAUAUCCUUCUGGUCGAACCGAAAGAGUUAAGUGCUCCGCCUGGGGAGUAUGGUCGCAAGGCUGAAACUCAAAGGAAUUGACGGGGGCUCACACAAGCGGUGGAGGAUGUGGCUUAAUUCGAGGCUACGCGAAGAACCUUAUCCUAGUCUUGACAUGCACGGAUUAACCCCAGGAAACUGGGGCCAGGCCUUCGGGUACAACGUGCACAGGUGCUGCAUGGCUGUCGUCAGCUCGUGUCGUGAGAUGUCGCGUUAAGUCGCUUAACGAGCGAAACCCUUGUCCUUAGUUGCCAGCGGGUCAUGCCGGGGACUCUAGGGAGACUGCCGGUGUUAAACCGGAGGAAGGUGGGGAUGACGUCAAGUCCUCAUGGCCUUUAUGUCUAGGGCUGCACACGUCCUACAAUGGCGCGCACAAAGGGAAGCAAACUCGCGAGAGCCAGCAAAUCCCAAAAAACGCGUCUCAGUCCGGAUUGCAGGCUGCAACCCGCCUGCAUGAAGCCGGAAUCGCUAGUAAUCGCAGGUCAGCAUACUGCGGUGAAUGUGUUCCUGAGCAUGACUCACCGCCCGUAA
rnacentral:rRNA from 1 species